rnacentral:lncRNA from 1 species
CUUGAGGCACAGAGCCAGACCUGCAGAGAGGCUACCCGCUUCAAGCUGCAGCCACCAGAGCAAAGGGCUGAGUCAGCGGCCCCGGGGGUGGGAACAGCACCAGGCAGUCUCAGAUCUCUGGGAAGAAGGCCGGGAAGAUGGAUGAAAGAAAAGAUGGACGGUCAGGGAGAAGCAGGCGAAGGGCACAGUAGUGCAGAAGGCUGUGUGCCUAGCACUGUGCACCCCACUACACUCCGCACCGAACUAUACAGGGACAAGGCUGCUCAUCCGGCCCUAGCAAACCAGAGGCUGCCGGCUACUGACCUCAGACACGAGGGCGUCCAGGCACAUCAGGUAGACUUGAGACAUGAAGUCCAGCUCUGGAGUAACAGACAGACUAUGGCUCUGUCCCAUGUCUUCUUUCUAACUUCAUGACAUUGGAGCCUACAGAGAACUCCCUUUUAGAGAGUAGACAGAACUCAGACAUAACCAUAGCCUCACAGAUGGAGAAACCAAGCAGGCUCUGCAAGUGUUGACCGAGGGCGGCGGAGCGGCAGUUCCCAUGAGCAAAUAUUGACACAUUUCCUGAUCAUUAAAGCAGAAAGUCCGACUGAAAGAGGACAUUCUGUCCCUUCUCUGUAAAGCUUUGAAGCCUCCUGCUUCCACCCCAGGUCUUAGUCUCCUCACCUGAAACAGGAUGGUAACAAAGGAUGUGGCCGGGAUCCCAGGUCUCUGGGUCCCUAUGGGGCAUGAGGUGUGGCUGGGCACUCCUUGGAAUGAGUGAGAAUGGGAAGCUGUCUGUAUGUGUGUACAUACUCCAGAUUCACCCACACUGUACAGUGCCCUGAAGUGCCUGUCCAGGGCUGCAGGGCUUGGGACCUUAGGCCUCCAGGAAGCAACUGAGGCCAUGUGGUCUGACUGUAUAUACUUCCAGGGGCAUUGAAGGAGCUGACACUGGUAAUCUCAGAGCACCCAACCCCCCAGCAUCACCCUAUCCACCUAGGAGGAGGCUGAGGCAGGAGGAUGGCCCUAAACCAGAGCUGGGAAAAUAAUGUUCUUAGUCAUCUUUCUUGUUCUUAGUUGUCUUUCUGGUCCUGAUAUUGGGCAACGACUGUAACAGCCCAGAUUACCCCAGGAGGUCUU